UACAGAGGGGGCAAGCGUUGUUCGGAAUUACUGGGCGUAAAGGGCGCGUAGGCGGCCUUCUAAGUCAGACGUGAAAUUCCCCGGCUUAACCUGGGAACUGCGUCUGAUACUGGGAGGCUUGAGUAUGGGAGAGGGAUGUAGAAUUCCAGGUGUAGCGGUGAAAUGCGUAGAUAUCUGGAGGAAUACCGGUGGCGAAGGCGGCAUCCUGGACCAUAACUGACGCUGAGGCGCGAAAGCUAGGGGAGCAAACGGG
rnacentral:rRNA from 1 species